UACAGAGGGUGCGAGCGUUGUUCGGAAUUAUUGGGCGUAAAGCGCUUGUAGGCGGCCUGUUAAGUUCCGUGUGAAAUCCCCAGGCUUAACCUGGGAAGUGCGCGGAAAACUGGCGGGCUUGAGUGCCGGAGAGGGUCGCGGAAUUCCCGGUGUAGAGGUGAAAUUCGUAGAUAUCGGGAGGAACACCAGUGGCGAAGGCGGCGACCUGGACGGACACUGACGCUGAGACGCGAAAGCGUGGGGAGCAAACAG
rnacentral:rRNA from 1 species